CCAGAGGAUCCCAACUAGAGGGUUUGCAACAAAACCAAAGCAAAUCUGCAUGCCAGAAUGCAAAGUAGAACACCCUAAUAUGGGUCAGUACAUCCACCACCUCAUGGCAGAGCUGGAGCUCUCACUGCUUUAAGAUCUGGAUGAAGAUGUGGGAUAACAAUAGCUUCGAUGUCACUGCUGAGCUGUCUUCUACUGCCAGAAGACCAGAGAAAUGUGUUCUCAUCGCCCAGGAACUGACUUUUGUUGAAGAUUCCUAAGCUUUAAUUGAUACAUUUGCUACCAAGAAAUUGCAAUACUAAAGGAAGAUUUUAUUUGUGCCAAUAUUUUUGACACAAAAAAUACUAAUAGCCACUAUAUUUAUAUCAGUUUACUGAUUCUGCAGAAACUUAAACUUUCUGCUCAACUUUAUCAGUGAUCAUGGAUUAGAAGCAAACAUUAUUAUCUAAGGGUUGUACUUGAAGAAUAUCAAGAUAUGGUGACAAGCUCUCUUCUGGAGAAGAAACAGCAAUAUAA